UUAAGCGACUAAGCGUACACGGUGGAUGCCCUGGCAGUCAGAGGCGAUGAAGGGCGUGCUAAUCUGCGAUAAGCGCCGGUAAGGUGAUAUGAACCGUUAUAACCGGCGAUACCCGAAUGGGGAAACCCAGUGUGAUUCGUCACACUAUCAUUAACUGAAUCCAUAGGUUAAUGAGGCGAACCGGGGGAACUGAAACAUCUAAGUACCCCGAGGAAAAGAAAUCAACCGAGAUUCCCCCAGUAGCGGCGAGCGAACGGGGAGGAGCCCAGAGCCUGAAUCAGCAUGUGUGUUAGUGGAAGCGUCUGGAAAGGCGCGCGAUACAGGGUGACAGCCCCGUACACAAAAGCGCAUGUGCUGUGAGCUCGAUGAGUAGGGCGGGACACGUGGUAUCCUGUCUGAAUAUGGGGGGACCAUCCUCCAAGGCUAAAUACUCCUGACUGACCGAUAGUGAACCAGUACCGUGAGGGAAAGGCGAAAAGAACCCCGGCGAGGGGAGUGAAAAAGAACCUGAAACCGUGUACGUACAAGCAGUGGGAGCACAGGUUUACCUGUGUGACUGCGUACCUUUUGUAUAAUGGGUCAGCGACUUAUAUUCUGUAGCAAGGUUAACCGAAUAGGGGAGCCGGAGGGAAACCGAGUCUUAAUUGGGCGUUAAGUUGCAGGGUAUAGACCCGAAACCCGGUGAUCUAGCCAUGGGCAGGUUGAAGGUUGGGUAACACUAACUGGAGGACCGAACCGACUAAUGUUGAAAAAUUAGCGGAUGACCUGUGGCUGGGGGUGAAAGGCCAAUCAAACCGGGAGAUAGCUGGUUCUCCCCGAAAGCUAUUUAGGUAGCGCCUCGUGAAUUCAUCUCCGGGGGUAGAGCACUGUUUCGGCUAGGGGGCCAUCCCGGCUUACCAACCCGAUGCAAACUGCGAAUACCGGAGAAUGUUAUCACGGGAGACACACGGCGGGUGCUAACGUCCGUCGUGAAGAGGGAAACAACCCAGACCGCCAGCUAAGGUCCCAAAGUCAUGGUUAAGUGGGAAACGAUGUGGGAAGGCCCAGACAGCCAGGAUGUUGGCUUAGAAGCAGCCAUCAUUUAAAGAAAGCGUAAUAGCUCACUGGUCGAGUCGGCCUGCGCGGAAGAUGUAACGGGGCUAAACCAUGCACCGAAGCUGCGGCAGCGACGCUUAUGCGUUGUUGGGUAGGGGAGCGUUCUGUAAGCCUGCGAAGGUGGCCUGUGAGGGUUGCUGGAGGUAUCAGAAGUGCGAAUGCUGACAUAAGUAACGAUAAAGCGGGUGAAAAGCCCGCUCGCCGGAAGACCAAGGGUUCCUGUCCAACGUUAAUCGGGGCAGGGUGAGUCGACCCCUAAGGCGAGGCCGAAAGGCGUAGUCGAUGGGAAACGGGUUAAUAUUCCCGUACUUGGUGUUACUGCGAAGGGGGGACGGAGAAGGCUAUGUUGGCCGGGCGACGGUUGUCCCGGUUUAAGCGUGUAGGUGUGUGUUCCAGGUAAAUCCGGUUCACUUUAACACUGAGGCGUGAUGACGAGGCACUACGGUGCUGAAGUAACAAAUGCCCUGCUUCCAGGAAAAGCCUCUAAGCAUCAGGUAACAUCAAAUCGUACCCCAAACCGACACAGGUGGUCAGGUAGAGAAUACCAAGGCGCUUGAGAGAACUCGGGUGAAGGAACUAGGCAAAAUGGUGCCGUAACUUCGGGAGAAGGCACGCUGACACGUAGGUGAAGUGAUUUACUCACGGAGCUGAAGUCAGUCGAAGAUACCAGCUGGCUGCAACUGUUUAUUAAAAACACAGCACUGUGCAAACACGAAAGUGGACGUAUACGGUGUGACGCCUGCCCGGUGCCGGAAGGUUAAUUGAUGGGGUCAGCGCAAGCGAAGCUCCUGAUCGAAGCCCCGGUAAACGGCGGCCGUAACUAUAACGGUCCUAAGGUAGCGAAAUUCCUUGUCGGGUAAGUUCCGACCUGCACGAAUGGCGUAAUGAUGGCCAGGCUGUCUCCACCCGAGACUCAGUGAAAUUGAACUCGCUGUGAAGAUGCAGUGUACCCGCGGCAAGACGGAAAGACCCCGUGAACCUUUACUAUAGCUUGACACUGAACAUUGAGCCUUGAUGUGUAGGAUAGGUGGGAGGCUUUGAAGUGUGGACGCCAGUCUGCAUGGAGCCGACCUUGAAAUACCACCCUUUAAUGUUUGAUGUUCUAACGUGGACCCGUUACCCGGGUUGCGGACAGUGUCUGGUGGGUAGUUUGACUGGGGCGGUCUCCUCCUAAAGAGUAACGGAGGAGCACGAAGGUUGGCUAAUCCUGGUCGGACAUCAGGAGGUUAGUGCAAUGGCAUAAGCCAGCUUGACUGCGAGCGUGACGGCGCGAGCAGGUGCGAAAGCAGGUCAUAGUGAUCCGGUGGUUCUGAAUGGAAGGGCCAUCGCUCAACGGAUAAAAGGUACUCCGGGGAUAACAGGCUGAUACCGCCCAAGAGUUCAUAUCGACGGCGGUGUUUGGCACCUCGAUGUCGGCUCAUCACAUCCUGGGGCUGAAGUAGGUCCCAAGGGUAUGGCUGUUCGCCAUUUAAAGUGGUACGCGAGCUGGGUUUAGAACGUCGUGAGACAGUUCGGUCCCUAUCUGCCGUGGGCGCUGGAGAACUGAGGGGGGCUGCUCCUAGUACGAGAGGACCGGAGUGGACGCAUCACUGGUGUUCGGGUUGUCAUGCCAAUGGCACUGCCCGGUAGCUAAAUGCGGAAGAGAUAAGUGCUGAAAGCAUCUAAGCACGAAACUUGCCCCGAGAUGAGUUCUCCCUGAGACUUAAAGUCUCCUGAAGGAACGUUGAAGACGACGACGUUGAUAGGCCGGGUGUGUAAGCGCAGCGAUGCGUUGAGCUAACCGGUACUAAUGAACCGUGAGGCUUAACCCU
rnacentral:rRNA from 1 species